GCGUGAAGGCGAGCACUCUAGACGAACUGCCGUUGACAAAACGGAGGAAGUGGGGAUGACGUCAAAUCAUCAUGCCCCUUAUGUUCUGGGCUACACACGUGCUACAAUGGCCGGUACAGACGGACGCAAAGCCGCGAGGCGGAGCAAAUCCGAAAAAGCCGGUCUCAGUUCGGAUUGCAGGCUGCAAUUCGCCUGCAUGAAGUCGGAAUCGCUAGUAAUCGCAGGUCAGCAUACUGCGGUGAAUACGUUCCCGGGCCUU
rnacentral:rRNA from 1 species